GAUGAACGCUGGCGGCGUGCUUAACACAUGCAAGUCGAACGAAGCACUUUAUUUGAUUUCCUUCGGGACUGAUUAUUUUGUGACUGAGUGGCGGACGGGUGAGUAACGCGUGGGUAACCUGCCUUUUACAGGGGGAUAACAGUUGGAAACGGCUGCUAAUACCGCAUAAGCGCACAGCAUCGCAUGAUGCAGUGUGAAAACCUCCGGUGGUAUAAGAUGGACCCGCGUUGGAUUAGCUAGUUGGUGAGGUAACGGCCCACCAAGGCGACGAUCCAUAGCCGACCUGAUAGGGUGACCGGCAACAUUGGGACUGAGACACGGCCCAAACUCCUACGGGAGGCAGCAGUGGGGAAUAUUGCACAAUGGGCGAAAGCCUGAUGCAGCGACGCCGCGUGAGCGAAGAAGUAUUUCGGUAUGUAAAGCUCUAUCAGCAGGGAAGAUAAUGACGUUACCUGACUAAGAAGCACCGGCUAAAUACGUG
rnacentral:rRNA from 1 species